AGUGAACGCUGGCGGUAGGCCUAACACAUGCAAGUCGAACGGCAGCACAGUAAGAGCUUGCUCUUACGGGUGGCGAGUGGCGGACGGGUGAGGAAUACAUCGGAAUCUACUUUUUCGUGGGGGAUAACGUAGGGAAACUUACGCUAAUACCGCAUACGACCUACGGGUGAAAGCAGGGGAUCUUCGGACCUUGCGCGAUUGAAUGAGCCGAUGUCGGAUUAGCUAGUUGGCGGGGUAAAGGCCCACCAAGGCGACGAUCCGUCGCUGGUCUGAGAGGAUGAUCAGCCACACUGGAACUGAGACACGGUCCAGACUCCUACGGGAGGCAGCAGUGGGGAAUAUUGGACAAUGGGCGCAAGCCUGAUCCAGCCAUACCGAGUGGGUGAAGAAGGCCUUCGGGUUGUAAAGCCCUUUUGUUGGGAAAGAAAAGCAGCAGGUUAAUACCCCGCUGUUCUGACGGUACCCAAAGAAUAAGCACCGGCUAACUUCGUG
rnacentral:rRNA from 1 species